AUGCCCACUGAACCCAUGGACACCAUCCCGCUGCAGACGAUGUACCGCGGCCAUGCUCAUGCCAAAGAGAUAACAACGAACGAUGCCGCGUCCACCUCAGGCAGCGCCGCGGCGGCGCCCUUCUCUGUUGAGCCCAUCAACGCCGUUCCGCUCCGGGCGGUGCCGUGCCCGCACGUCCCUCACGCCGCCGGCGCAGCCCCGCUGGAGCCGGCCUGGAUACGCACGGCGCUGGGCCUCCAGCCUGGCCACGCGCUCUACUUCAUCGCCCAGAAGCGCGUCGAGUGCUCGGACCUCGAGAUGCAGCAGAGCCGCUUCAGGAUACCGAGCGCCGCCGUCGACCGUCUCCGCCCGCUCCUCUCCGACGACGGGCGUCACGCCGCCAACCUGGACAAUCUCAAGCCCCGGGAGAAGCCGAAAGCGCAGGCGUCCGGCAACGGGAGGGCGCAGGGGAGGAAGCACGGCGGGCUGGUCGUGCCGCUCUACAUCAACCGUGCCGGCGACCGGAUGGAUGCUCGGCUGACACGAUGGGAUUCUAACGACUACACGGUGCUGAAAUACGGAAACAGCCAGAGCUUCGUCCGCGGGAGUGGCCUCAAAGUGAUGGACAUAAUCCAGAUAUGGGCGUUCCAGAACCCUGGCCUGCAUUUGGUGAUCCACAAGAUCGACGGCGGUGAGAUGACGGCGGCGCCAUCGGCAUCAGCAGGAGGGCAGCAGUCAGCGAAAAUAUAA
rnacentral:rRNA from 1 species